CAGAGUGUGCUGAUUUUUCAGGAAGCUCCUCACUGAGGAGGAAUAACAAAUUCCCAAAUGAAAAACUGGCAGGAUUAGACACUUGAAACUUGAGGUUGGGGAGCCUUCUGUGGAGAGUUUCAGUUCUGACUGGGUUCCUUGGCUGGAGUGGGGGGACACCUACAGAAGAAAGUCUGUCUACCCACUGAUGCCCUCUCUCAGUGCCUACUGUCUUACUGGAGUGGCAAACGAUGGCUGCGUGGUGCUUGAGCAGCGACCAUCCAAGAGGAGAUAUCCCAUAUCCAAGAGCACAUCAUAAGAAAUGCUGGGCUAGAUGAGUUAUAAGCUGGAAUCAAGAUUUCCGGGAGAUAUAUCAACAACCUCAGAUAUGCAGAGAAUACCACCCUAAUGGCAGAAAGAAAAAGAGGAACUAAAGAACCUCUUAAUGAGGGUGAAGGAGAAGAGUGAAAAAGCCGGCUUAAAACUCAAUAUUAAAAAAAGCUAAGAUCAUGUCAUCAGGCCCCAUCAUUUCAUGGCAAAUAAAAGGGAAAAAGGUGGAAGCAGUGA
ensembl:lncRNA